CCAGUCGGCCGGGCAGCCGCGCUCCGCAUGUGGUCGAAAGGCCGCGGGGUGAGGAAAGUCCGGGCUCCACGGAAACACGGUGCCGGAUAACGUCCGGCGAGGGCGACCUCAGGGAAAGUGCAACAGAAAGCAAACCGCCCCGCCUUCUCGACGGCCGCCGGACCCUUGGGUCCCUUGAUGGCCGCCGAGGUGGCGGGGUAAGGGUGAAAGGGUGGGGUAAGAGCCCACCGCGACGCUGGCAACAGGGUCGGCAUGGCAAACCCCACCGGGAGCAAGACCGAAUAGGGACGACACGGCAGGCGCAAGCCUGCCAGCCUGUUUCCGGGACCGUCGUCCGGGUGGGUUGCGCGAGGCGGCAGGCAACUGCCGUCCCAGAUGAAUGGCUGCCACGUUCCGCUCUUCGGGGCGGGGCCAUACAGAACCCGGCUUACAGGCCGACUGGCAUU
rnacentral:RNase_P_RNA from 1 species